GCCAGUGUGGCUCAGUGGUUGAGCAUCAGCCUACGAACCAGGAAGUCAGGGUUCAAUUCCCGGUCAGGGCA
rfam:Myotis lucifugus cont2.9604, whole genome shotgun sequence.